GGGGAGUUAGCUCAGUUGGUAGAGCGCGUUAUAGUUUGGUCUUGUUAAAGACCGUAACAGCAAUCUUUAACUUGCUUUGGGUGCACGAUGUCGCAGGUUCGAGUCCUGCACUCCCCG
rnacentral:tRNA from 1 species